rnacentral:rRNA from 1 species
AGCACAGAGAGCUUGCUCUCGGGUGACGAGCGGCGGACGGGUGAGUAAUGUCUGGGAAACUGCCUGAUGGAGGGGGAUAACUACUGGAAACGGUAGCUAAUACCGCAUAACGUCGCAAGACCAAAGUGGGGGACCUUCGGGCCUCAUGCCAUCAGAUGUGCCCAGAUGGGAUUAGCUAGUAGGUGGGGUAACGGCUCACCUAGGCGACGAUCCCUAGCUGGUCUGAGAGGAUGACCAGCCACACUGGAACUGAGACACGGUCCAGACUCCUACGGGAGGCAGCAGUGGGGAAUAUUGCACAAUGGGCGCAAGCCUGAUGCAGCCAUGCCGCGUGUAUGAAGAAGGCCUUCGGGUUGUAAAGUACUUUCAGCGGGGAGGAAGGCGAUAAGGUUAAUAACCUUGUCGAUUG